rnacentral:sRNA from 12 species
UGCCUAAGUCCUAAUAGGAUAUGGCACAAAAAACCUACCAUAGGAUAGAGAGCUCGUCGUCAGAGCACCUGUGGUAGGUCAUAUCCCGAAAGGGGUAUGGGUGGUCGCAAGACCAUC